GACAGAGGGGGCAAGCGUUGCUCGGAAUUACUGGGCGUAAAGCGUGCGCAGGCGGUCUGUUAAGACAGAUGUGAAAUCCCCGGGCUUAACCUGGGAACUGCAUUUGUGACUGGCAGGCUAGAGUAUGGCAGAGGGGGGGUAGAAUUCCACGUGUAGCAGUGAAAUGCGUAGAGAUGUGGAGGAAUACCCGAUGGCGAAGGCAGCCCCCUGGGCCCA
rnacentral:rRNA from 1 species